CCGUUUAACAAUAUCAACACUUUACAAAAAUUUGAUCGUGAUUUCAAUGACUAUGAGCAAAUGCGAGAUCAAUUUAUACAAAAACUUCAAGAUAUUGGUGGAAAAACGGUCCAAUAAGCAGUAAAAUAUUCGAUGGAAGUAGUUAUGACGGACGAGUUAACUUAACAAAUCGUUUGGACUCUCGGAGCUGAGAACAAUCCAACAAUCUCCAAAUUUACGUUCCUAUAUCUCAUAAUUGAUGUCGUACGUAACGCAUUUAAGGGAACAAAAAUUAAAGCUGUCGAAGAUCGGAUUGGCGACUGGCUUCGUCGUGGAGGCGACCGAAUAAAAGCAUCCAAGAUAGCUGCGAAUACACGACGUGAACGUCAACAUAAUUUUGAAUGAUAUAUUGAUAUAUACGUGCCUUUCUUUUUAAUAGUAAAUAUACAUCAAAGUUCCUAAUAUACAAAUUUAUACAUUUGAUAAUCUAGGUUUGCACAAAACAUAUAA